GAAAAAUAAGCAAAACAAACCACAAUAAUGGUGGUACCGUUCCUAAAAUCCAGAAGUCACCUCUUUCUUUUUACUUCAAAUUUCACUUGAGUUUUGCUGGUCUUUGCUGAAAUUUCACCUGAGUUUUGCUGGUCUUUGCUGCGUGUGAUUGUAACUUGACAUAUUCUUGGACUUUCCUUCCCUUCAAGGCUUUGAUUCCAAAUCUGUUGGUGGUGGUGCUUGUUAUUGUUGUUGAAAGUGUCUCCAAAACUAUUCUUUUGAAGGCUCUCUGUUGAUUUCUUUUGUAAGAUAAUGGCGCCUAAUAAACAAUGGAUGGAACUCAUUAAAGAUAGACUUUCUAUUGCUUAUAUAGAUGGGGUGGAGACUUUCUUGGAUUAUGCUUUUACAAAACUAGGAGAACCGCAGUUGAUACGUUGUCCAUGUAUUAAAUGUGGUAAUGCAACUUCUAGAACACGUGUUGUAGUUAGGUCACAUUUAAUAGUACAUGGGAUAAUACCAAGUUAUACUCUUUGGUAUCACCAUGGGGAGAUGUCAGGUGAAGAACAAUCAAAUUUUGAAAAAAUAGAUGAUAAUGAAAUUGAAGAGGAUGAUGGUGAGGAUGAAAUAGAUGGUUUGCUGAGAGAUUUGUACCCCGAUUUUAAUGGAGAUAAUAUGAAUAAUAGUGGUGAUGAUUUGAUGGAGGAGGAACCAAAUGAUGAAGCAAAAAGAUUUUAUAGGCUAUUGAAAGAUAUUGAUCUACCAUUAUAUGAAAGUGCAAAAGUUUCUAAGCUUUCUACUUUGGUUAAAUUGCUUCACCUUAAAAGUAUUGGUCAUUGGAGUAAUGAGUAAUUUACAAUGUUGUUGAAGUUUUUGAAAGAUGAUUUAUUGUUGGAUGGAACAAACUUGCCGGAUUCAUAUUAUGAGGCAAAGAAGGUAAUUCGAGAUCUUGGGCUUUCAUGUAAGAAGAUUGAUGCAUGUAAGAAUGAUUGCAUGUUAUAUUGGAAGGAUGAUAAUUGUCUUCAAUCUUGCAAAGUUUGUGGUGCAUCUAGAUGGAAGGAUGAUAAACAUAGUGGGGAACAAAAUUGAAA